UACGAAGGGGGCUAGCGUUGUUCGGAUUUACUGGGCGUAAAGCGCACGUAGGCGGUUUGUUAAGUCGAGGGUGAAAUCCCAGAGCUCAACUCUGGAACUGCCUUUGAUACUGGCAAGCUAGAGUCCGGAAGAGGUAAGUGGAACUCCUAGUGUAGAGGUGGAAUUCGUAGAUAUUAGGAAGAACACCAGUGGCGAAGGCGGCUUACUGGUCCAUUACUGACGCUGAAGCACGAAAGCUAGGGGAGCAAACAGG
rnacentral:rRNA from 1 species